GUGCUUACUUCGGCAGCACAUACACUAAAAAUUGGAACGAUACAGAGAAGAUUAGCAUGACCCCUGCGCGAGGAUGACACACAAAUUCAUGAAGCAUUCCAUAUUUUU
rnacentral:snRNA from 2 species